GGAAUAUAGCUAACUGUUUCUCAUGGCUCCUACCAGUAGCAACGCUCGGGUCUUGUGUCUGGUGGCUCUCCUGGUCAUGUCUACCACCUUCUUGUCCUGUGAUGCAGCAGGUGGGUGGACGAAGUUUUGCGUACCCGAGAAAGCCUGCGAGACCCCAGCAGGACUUCACGGUGACUAUGUGUGCAAGGUUGACUGCGGACGCCAAGGUUAUGAUGAGGAUAAAAGCCACUGCACGAGUGGCAUUUGCUGCUGUGAAAAGUAAUAUAAGCCGUCGAUAGUUUUGUUAUGUGCUGGAACGAUUUUGCGUAGUGAGGGAGACUUAUUUUCUAUGCACACCUAGGUUUAGUUCAUACAGAAACAAUCAGUAAACUGUAAUGGUUGUAUUCUUGAGACAAAUUCUGCAAUGGUUGAUCUAUA